GCAGAACAAAUGGACUACGGGAAGACAUAAAUUUAAGGGCGAGAAGAAUGAGAGAAAUAAGCAAAGGAGUGGCCAGACAGGUAAAGUGAACAGAGUUAUCUGUGACAUUCCAUCAGGCACCUAUGUAACGAAAUCAUACCGUAAUAACUCACCAUGGCGUAUGGAGUGCCAAGAAAGAACACAGUGAAAACCAUUUUGCGGGGCAGUUGUUAUAAUGUGAACCUUGGGAUAUUGCAUUGCUUGCAAAGACCUGGUCCACAAACCUAGCCAAUAUCAAGUUGCCUUUCUUGGAAGAAAUUUCAUUUGGUGGUUCUGUGCAGCUCACAAAAUGUACCACCAUUAAAGAUGGACUGCUCCCUUCUGCAGAAUCUAUCAAACUCGAAAGGGAGUAUGAAGUGAAGCGUCUUUGUAAACUGAAGUGUCAAGAAAAUACAUCUAAGGAAAUUCAGCUUCUCCUGAGGGAAAGGCCAGCCGGUUUGAGAAGACCUCUUCCAUCUAAAUGACAGUCAGUUCAUGAUUGAAUCUGUACUCUGUGUCUUGCAUCCAAAGGGCAUGAAGGUCUCUGGACCUUUCACUAUGUAUAGUUCAGGGCAGAUAUUUGAAUGCCCACUGGUGGAUGGGCCACUGCCCACAGCUGUGGGUUAGUACCCAGUUCUGACAGAUCUUCUGAGUCCCUGACAUACUCUUGUUCCUUGUGUCACAAACGACAGCACUGUAAGUAGAUGAAAAUGCAUUUGGAGUUGAGUCGUUUGUGCUAUUCAUUUUAAUUUUUGUAAAAUUGCACUAAAAGAAGAGGAAAUUUCUUCAGCUGCAUUGUUUUCAAAAGACAUCUUAAAUAUGCAUCUUUGAGAUCCCAAGGAGGGACCAAAAGAAGGCAAGAGAGAAAUUCUCUUAAAAAUGAUAAACUGAAACAUUUCAUUUGGUUAAGAAAAAUAAUAGACUUCAUUUUUAGUACCUCCCUAGUUUCCAAUUUUCUUUUUUUUAAAUAUAUAUAUUUUUUAUUGUACUUUAAGUUCUAGGGUACAUGUGCACAACGUGCAGGUUUGUUACAUAUGUAUACAUGGGCCAUGUUGGUGUGCUGCAUCCAGUAACUCAUCAUUUACAUUAGGUAUAUCUCCUAAUGCUAUCCCUCCCCCAUACCCCCACCCCACAACAGGCCCCCGUGUGUGAUGUUCCCCUUCCUGUGUCCAAGUGUUCUCAUUUUUCAAUUCUCACCUAUGAGUGAGAACAUGCGGUGUUUGGUUUUUUGUCCUUGUGAUAGUUUGCUGAGAAUGAUGGUUUCCAGCUUCACCCAUGUCCCUACAAAGGACAUGAACUCAUUAUUUUUUAUGGCUGCAUAGUAUUCCAUGGUGCAUUUGUGCCACAUUUUCUUAAUCCAGUCUAUCAUUGUUGGACAUUUGGGUUGGUUCCAAGUCUUUGCUAUUGUGAGUAGUGCCACAAUAAACAUACGUGUG
rnacentral:lncRNA from 10 species